rnacentral:rRNA from 1 species
GACGAACGCUGGCGGCGUGCUUAACACAUGCAAGUGGAGCGACGAACCAGGGCUUGCCCUGGGGCAGAGCCGCGAACGGGUGAGUAACACGUGGGUAACCUACCCCGAUGACUGGGACAACCCGAGGAAACUCGGGCUAAUACCGGAUGUACUUAUCACUCCUAAGGGAGAUAAGUAAAGGAAGCUUCGGCCUCCGCUUCGGGAGGGGCCCGCGGCCCAUUAGCUUGUUGGUGAGGUAACGGCUCACCAAGGCGACGAUGGGUAGCUGGUCUGAGAGGACGAUCAGCCACACUGGGACUGAGACACGGCCCAGACUCCUACGGGAGGCAGCAGUGGGGAAUCUUGCGCAAUGCGCGAAAGCGUGACGCAGCAACGCCGCGUGGGGGAAGAAGGCCUUCGGGUUGUAAACCCCUUUCAGGAGGGACGAAGGUGCGGCGGCGAAUAGCCGUCCGUACUGACGGUACCUCCACAAGAAGCCCCGGCUAACUACGUGCCAGCAGCCGCCGUAAAAC